rnacentral:tRNA from 1 species
UGUAGCUCAGUGGCAGAGCACUUGCCUAGCAUGUAUGAGGCACUGGGUUUGAUUCUCAGCA